rnacentral:rRNA from 1 species
CGGACAGGAGGGAGCUUGCUCCCUGAUGUUAGCGGCGGACGGGUGAGUAACACGUGGGUAACCUGCCCGUAAGACUGGGAUAACUCCGGGAAACCGGGGCUAAUACCGGAUGCUUGUUUGAACCGCAUGGUUCAAACAUAAAAGGUGGCUUCGGCUACCACUUACAGAUGGACCCGCGGCGCAUUAGCUAGUUGGUGAGGUAACGGCUCACCAAGGCGACGAUGCGUAGCCGACCUGAGAGGGUGAUCGGCCACACUGGGACUGAGACACGGCCCAGACUCCUACGGGAGGCAGCAGUAGGGAAUCUUCCGCAAUGGACGAAAGUCUGACGGAGCAACGCCGCGUGAGUGAUGAAGGUUUUCGGAUCGUAAAGCUCUGUUGUUAGGGAAGAACAAGUGCCGUUCAAAUAGGGCGGCACCUUGACGGUACCUAACCAGAAAGCCACGGCUAACUACGUGCCAGCAGCCGGGGUAAUACGUAGGUGGCAAGCGUUGUCCGGAAUUAUUGGGCGUAAAGGGCUCGCAGGCGGUUUCUUAAGUCUGAUGUGAAAGCCCCCGGCUCAACCGGGGAGGGUCAUUGGAAACUGGGGAACUUGAGUGCAGAAGAGGAGAGUGGAAUUCCACGUGUAGCGGUGAAAUGCGUAGAGAUGUGGAGGAACACCAGUGGCGAAGGCGACUCUCUGGUCUGUAACUGACGCUGAGGAGCGAAAGCGUGGGGAGCGAACAGGAUUAGAUACCCUGGUAGUCCACGCCGUAAACGAUGAGUGCUAAGUGUUAGGGGGUUUCCGCCCCUUAGUGCUGCAGCUAACGCAUUAAGCACUCCGCCUGGGGAGUACGGUCGCAAGACUGAAACUCAAAGGAAUUGACGGGGGCCCGCACAAGCGGUGGAGCAUGUGGUUUAAUUCGAAGCAACGCGAAGAACCUUACCAGGUCUUGACAUCCUCUGACAAUCCUAGAGAUAGGACGUCCCCUUCGGGGGCAGAGUGACAGGUGGUGCAUGGUUGUCGUCAGCUCGUGUCGUGAGAUGUUGGGUUAAGUCCCGCAACGAGCGCAACCCUUGAUCUUAGUUGCCAGCAUUCAGUUGGGCACUCUAAGGUGACUGCUGUCCG